UGUGAUGCUGUGUGGUUUCUGUCACGUACACACACACAGGCACACUCAUGCACACACCCCCUACCUCCCUGCCUACAUUCCACCCAGCCUGACUGCUCUGGAAGGAAGAAUCCCUGCAAGGUGAGUGUUAUUAUAUCCAUUUGUGGACCAGGACUGCGGCUCAGAAGCUUUUCCCAGGACACUGAACUCUGACAGGUGAAUAGCUGCCAAGUGGUGGAGGUUGGCCUGCAGUGAGCAUCAGUCUGACUUCGAAGGGUCUUGUUUUAUCACCUAGGCUGGAAUGCAGUGGAACCUGCUUAGCUCACUGUAGCCUUGAACUGCUGGGCUCAAGCAGUCCUCCUGUUUUGGCCUCUGAAGCAACUGGGACUACAGGACAGAAUGACACAUGGUACAAGCUUUCUGUCUUACUGCCACACGUCAGUGUCCUGGGAGAUGAACCAGAUGCAGCUCCCUGAUGAAUGUGGGAAUAAAAAUUUAUAUCAGAAUCGACACUGGUUAUAAUGUGAAUUUAUGACAUUACUUGAGAAUAUUCAAUUCUGCUGUAGAGGACAAAAAAAAUGGAAUAAUGAAAUCCAUCAUAAACCCUGGGCAUAGUUGGUAAGUAAGCAGGUACCUUAUGCGAUAUAGGCAAAACUUAUAGGAUGUAUUAAGUAUAGAUAGAGAGUAAUGUAGUAUAUACUGAGGCAUGUUAAAGAUAAACAGAAUGCAUGAAAUAUAUGCUGGAACAAGGAAGAAUAUUAUAGAUAGAAAUGUCAAGUCAUAUGUCUUGAUCAUUCUAUCUCUAGGCUGACAGCUCAGUCAUCUCUAGAUGAGCCAUUCAUUGGUAACUCAAUAUGGUCUCAUUCUGAGUUUCACAUGAACUGUGCUAAAAAAAAAAAAUGCAGAUAAAACCUUUCACUGUUCAGUAAGUGAAUUGGCCAGGGGGUCCUUGUUUCUUAUCUUAGUCCAUUUUCUGCUGCUAUAACAGAAUAACCUCAGAUGGGAUAAUUGAUAAAGAAUAGAAAUGUAUUUCUCACAGUUCCAGAGGUUGGGAAGUCCAAGGUCAAGGGGCCCAGAUCCGGUGAGGGUCUUGUUACUGUCAUAGCAUGGUGGAAGGGCCAGAGAGAAAGUUGGAGAGAGAGAAUGGAACUCACAGCCCCCAGCCCUUUUAUAAUCCACAUUAAUCCAUUCAUGAGGAUGGAACCCUCGUGAUCUAAACACCUCCCAUGAGGCCCCACCUCCUAACACUGUGGCAUCAGGGAUUGCAUUUCCAGCACAUGCUUUUUGGGGAGCACAUUCAAACCAUAGCAUCCCUGCAUCUCUCUGACAUAGCAAAUGUGUGUCAUUGGCCCAGCAGGCCUUCUGUCUGUGGGCCCCCUUGCUCAAACCUCAACUCUGGUCUCCUGACCACACUGUUAGUGUAGAGAAAGACAGGACGUUUGGAGCUUGCAUAGUCCAGAAGUCAAGAAGCGGUUGCUGUCACCUGCCUGCAACCCAUCCUUACGAACUGACUCUAUCUCCUUCCCCUUGCUUUUCCCUGUGUGUUUUAAAUUAAUUUAAUAAACUGUGUGAGGCCGGGUGUGGUGGCUCAUGCCUGUAAUCCAAGCACUCUGGGAGGCUGAGACAGGUGGAUCACCUGAGGUCAGGGAUUCAAGACCAGCCUGGCCAACAUGGUGAAACCCUGUCUCUACAAAAAUACAAAAAUUAGCCAGGCAUGAUGUGGGUGCCUGUAAUCCCAGCUACUCAGGAGGCUGAGGCGGGAGAAUCACUGGAACUCAGAGGCAGAGGUUGCAGUGAGCCGAGAUCGUGCCAUUGCACUCCAGCCUGGGUGGCAGA
rnacentral:lncRNA from 10 species